rnacentral:lncRNA from 1 species
AUGAUCAACAGGAACUUGCUGUCACGUGCUUCCGGCGCAACCAUAGUGCUUUCUGGGGGGGGGGAAGGCACCGAGGCUCUCGAACUAUCCCUCCCUCUCUCAGUGAGUCUCAGAAUGGGCUCCGAGGACAGGGAGAUGAGAAGCGAAUUCGGGGAUGGGAGGGACAAAUGGAAGGAAGCUGUCUUCCACCUAGAUUCCUGCCUUUCCCAAAGAGAAGAUCUAGGAAGACCAGGUGAUGGUGGCCAUGACUCUGACAUCUAGGGUCUUGGUGAGUUAUGGUUCCCUCUAACCUUCCUAAGAUCUUGUCCCUUGCUCCCAAGUGUGAUUGGAACAUAUUUCUUUAUCUUGAGGUUUCUCAGGCUAAUAACAGCUUUUCCCCAAUAUGUUUUUCCUCUUAAUAGCAUCCUUUGCAUAAGGUGCUCUCUUGAUUUCACCAUAUAAACAACCUGGC